AUGGCUUUCACCAGGAAGUCCGCCCCGGCCUUGUCCACUGUGAUAGCUGCCUUCCCGUUGGAAGACGUGCUGCUGUCCCUCUUCGCCGUAUUGGCAGAAUCAGCUUUUUCAACCGAAUCUUUAGAUUCGUUAUUGCAGGCCACCAACAAUAUGGCUGCCAGGAAGAAUAAUUGUGUUUUCAUGUUUAUUAUUUUAUUGUCCAACUAAUCGAUGCUUAUCGUUCGUAGUGCGAUUCUGUUUC
rnacentral:misc_RNA from 1 species